CCAGCAUGCUGCUCUCUUUAUGGGAAGCCUACGGCUGUGCUGGUUUCAAGGAUUAUGAUUCUCGUAAUGGAAAAAAAAGGUUGGAAAUGAGAACAAAUUCCACUCCUGGUAACAUCACUUGUCAGAGUUCAACCUGGGUCACACAGAGAGAGAGAACAAGAGGCAGAGGGAGAAGCAGGCUCCAUGCAUCGGGAGCCCGACGUGGGAUUCAAUCCCGGGUCUCCAGGAUCGUGCCCUGGGCCAAAGGCAGGCGCUGAACCGCUGCGCCACCCAGGGAUCCCUGCGUUAAGG